rnacentral:rRNA from 1 species
AUUGAACGCUGGCGGCAGGCUUAACACAUGCAAGUCGAGCGGUAGCACAGGGGAGCUUGCUCCCUGGGUGACGAGCGGCGGACGGGUGAGUAAUGUCUGGGAAACUGCCUGAUGGAGGGGGAUAACUACUGGAAACGGUAGCUAAUACCGCAUAACGUCGCAAGACCAAAGAGGGGGACCUUCGGGCCUCUUGCCAUCAGAUGUGCCCAGAUGGGAUUAGCUAGUAGGUGGGGUAAUGGCUCACCUAGGCGACGAUCCCUAGCUGGUCUGAGAGGAUGACCAGCCACACUGGAACUGAGACACGGCCCAGACUCCUACGGGAGGCAGCAGUGGGGAAUAUUGCACAAUGGGCGCAAGCCUGAUGCAGCCAUGCCGCGUGUGUGAAGAAGGCCUUCGGGUUGUAAAGCACUUUCAGCGAGGAGGAAGGUGGUGAGCUUAAUACGUUCAUCAAUUGACGUUACUCGCAGAAGAAGCACCGGCUAACUCCGUG